rnacentral:rRNA from 1 species
CCUACGGAGGGCAGCAGUGAGGAAUAUUGGUCAAUGGGCGCGAGCCUGAACCAGCCAAGUAGCGUGAAGGAUGACUGCCCUACGGGUUGUAAACUUCUUUUAUAAAGGAAUAAAGUGAGGCACGUGUGCCUUUUUGUAUGUCUUUUAUGAAUAAGGAUCGGCUAACUCCGUGCCAGCAGCCGCGGUAAUACGGAGGAUCCGAGCGUGAUCCGGAUUUAUUGGGUUUAAAGGGAGCGUAGAUGGGUUGUUAAGUCAGUUGUGAAAGUUUGCGGCUCAACCGUAAAAUUGCAAUUGAUACUGGCAGCCUUGAGUACAGUUGAGGUAGGCGGAAUUCGUAGUGUAGCGGUGAAAUGCUUAGAUAUCACGAAGAACUCCGAUUGCGAAGGCAGCCUACUAGACUGCCACUGACAUUGAUGCUCGAAAGUGUGGGUAUCAAACAGGAUUAGAUACCCGGGUAGUC